ensembl:snRNA U6 U6 spliceosomal RNA
AAUAGCUCCCUCUCUUUCAAUUACUGUUUUAAAAAAUAUUUGUAGAGAGGAUUAGCAUGGUCCCUGUGCGAGGAUGACAUGCAAAUUCAUGAGGUGCUCCAUAUUAUC